rnacentral:rRNA from 1 species
GACGUAGGGCGCGAGCGUUGUCCGGAUUUAUUGGGCGUAAAGGGCGCGUAGGCGGCUCGUGAAGUCGGGUGUGAAAGCCCGGGGCUCAACCCCGGAACGGCAUCCGAUACUGACGGGCUUGAGACCGGGAGAGGAGGGUGGAAUACCCAGUGUAGAGGUGAAAUUCGUAGAUAUUGGGUGGAACACCGGUGGCGAAAGCGGCUCUCUGGCCCGGAUCUGACGCUGAGGCGCGAAAGCGUGGGGAGCAAACAGG